rnacentral:snRNA from 1 species
GUGCUUGCUUCAGCACCACAUAUACUAAAAUUGGAACAAUACAGAGAAAAUUAGCAUGGUCCUUGAGCAAGGGAGACAUGUAAAUUUGUGAAGCAUUCCAUAUUUUA